CCAUGGGGUCCAUCUUGUACUUGUCUGGGAAAGCUCUGCUAAGUGCGAGAUGGCGGGCGUGUAUGUAAAACUGCAAAUCACAAGUCAGAGGUGUACAUCAAAAACAAUUUUACUGAACGUCUGACACAUUUUUCUCCCGUGUUUGAGGUUUUCAGAAUUCUAUUACAAACUGCAACAAAACAUACAGACAGAAGAGUUGGAUUAGUGGCAGGAGAGAAUAUACUAAACAAGACUUCUUGUGUCUGCGCUAAAUUCACACCCACUAUUUGGCUCUGGUGCAGCAGAAACACACCCGUCCCAGGUAUCUCCAGUCCAGCAGGUCAGACAGCCUCUCAGUUCUGUUACGCUGGAUGAUGCGCUGGCGCCGAGACUGCUGGCAGAAACUGAACAUGAACUGGGUGAGCUGGUUACAGGACUCCUCAGCUGAACGGAACCGCCGGUCCACAAUCGGCAGGGUCGGACACAUGCUCCUCCAUGAAGCAGCCGAAUCCUGACAGGUUGGUGGUCACACUGGGAAUGCCCAUCACAGUACAUUCACCUGGGGAAGAACAACACAGCAAAGAAAAGCUACAAUAAAUUUGUUGUCAUGUG